AGAGAGUCCAUUCUACAUGUCAAUAUCGACAACAAUGAAAUUUAUAGUA
rnacentral:tRNA from 1 species